rnacentral:sRNA from 1 species
AGUCGCCAUUUGUCUAUGGCAGGCAGGGUGGCCGCCUUAGCUGCCGGAGGUUCCGCGCUCUCUAAGGCCCUGGGUGAAGCCCCACCUCUGCUGCGCGCAGCCUGCGGUGCGGGUCAUGGCGCGGCUACCGAAGCUGGCAGUCUUUGAUUUGGAUUACACUCUCUGGCCUUUCUGGGUCGACACGCACGUAGACCCUCCGUUCCAUAAGAGCAGGUGAGGUAGGGACAGGGAGGACUGGGGCGAGAUAGGACCCAGCCAGGGCUGAGCGCACUCUUGCCCUCCCCAGUGAUGGAACUGUACGAGAUAGGCGGGGCCAAGACGUCCGACUGUACCCAGAGGUGCCUGAGGUCCUAAAACGAUUGCAGAGCCUUGGGGUGCCCGGUGCGGCUGCUUCAAGGACAAGUGAGAUAGAAGGGGCCAACCAGCUACUGGAGCUCUUUGACCUUAUCAGGUACUUUGUUCAUCGGGAAAUCUAUCCAGGCAGCAAGAUCACACACUUUGAGAGGUUGCAGCAGAAGACUGGAAUUCCUUUCUCCCAGAUGAUCUUCUUUGAUGAUGAGAGGCGGAAUAUUGUAGA